AUUGAACGCUGGCGGCAGGCUUAACACAUGCAAGUCGAACGAGUGGCGGACGGGUGAGUAAUGCUUGGGAAUCUUGCUUAUGGAGGGGGAUAACUACGGGAAACUGUAGCUAAUACCGCGUACCAUAGGAUUAGCCCAAGAGGGAUUAGGUAGUUGGUGGGGAAAAGGCUCACCAAGCCGGGGAUCUCUAGCUGGUCUGAGAGGAGGACCAGCACCACUGGGACUGAGAAACGGCCCAGACUCCUACGGGAGGCAGCAGUGGGGAAUAUUGCGCAAUGGGGUCAAUCUGACGCAGCAAGGCCGCGUGAAUGAAGAAGGCCUUCGGGUUGUAAAGUUCUUUCGGUAGCGAGGCGUUAACUACAGAAGAAGCACCGGCUAACUCCGUGCCAGCAGCCGCGGUAAUAC
rnacentral:rRNA from 1 species